rnacentral:rRNA from 1 species
UACGGAGGGUGCGAGCGUUGUCCGGAAUCACUGGGCGUAAAGGGCGCGUAGGCGGCGCGGAUAGUCGGCGGUGAAAGCCCGGAGCUCAACUCCGGGUCGGCCGUCGAUACUUCCGGGCUUGAGCACUGUAGAGGCAGAUGGAAUUCCGGGUGUAGCGGUGGAAUGCGUAGAGAUCCGGAAGAACACCGGUGGCGAAGGCGGUCUGCUGGGCAGUUGGCUGACGCUGAUGCGCGACAGCG